GUAGCGGUAGUUCAGUGGUAGAAUUCUUGCCUUCCCUGCAGGAGACCCAGGGCCAAUUCCUGGCCAGUGCA
rnacentral:tRNA from 1 species